GCAGCCCCCAGACCGCUGGCUCUCUAAUUCUCACACCAAGCCUUGUUACUGGAUGCAGAACGGGUUCAGUUUGGGCCCGUAGUCGCCUUCAAUCCUGCCACCUUGCUUCCUCUACCUGAGGAGACAGAACAGCAUGACUGCCUAAGUACAUGGAACCAGGCCGGACCUAUCGGACCAGCCUCUUCAGAAUGCUGACCACACAUGGUACACGGAUGACAACAGCUUCUUGGCAGAGGGAGAGCGAAAGGCUGGAGCUGCGGUCACUACGGAGGACAAAGUGAUUUGGGCGAAAGCCCUGCCUGCUGGUACCUCCGCACAACGGGCUGAACUCAUCGCCUUGACUCAGGCGCUCAAGAUGACAAAAGGUAAGAGGCUAAAUAUAUAUAUACAGACAGCCGUUAUGCCUUUGCCACGGCACACAUCCACGGGGAGAUCUACCGGAGGCGGGGGCUGCUCACAUCUGAGGGUAAAGAUAUGGCUAAAAUUCUGGCCCUCUUAGAAGCCCUAUUCUUGCCCAAAAGACUGAGUAUUAUACAUUGUCCAGGACACCAGAAAGGACACAACCCAGAGGCACGAAGAAACCGGCUGGCCGAUGCCACGGCGAGAGAAGCGGCCAUGAACAAACAAAUCUUGCCCUUAAAUAGCCCAGACCAACCCACGCCCCCACCAGUGGGACAAACAGUUGGGUUUAUGCCCAUGAGGACAUAGAGCUCCUAAAAAAAAAUGGGGGCCAUCUACCACCCUCAACUAAAACAGUGGGUCUACAAAAGACUUUUGAAUUGAUCUCCUUUUUACAUAAGAAGAUAAAAACCUUACUAGAUCGAGAAGAGAUAAAUCUGUGUUUUUUUUUUUAAUCGGGACAAAGCGAUACAAAAGGUGACUGAG
rnacentral:lncRNA from 1 species